GGCCGUGGCGAAGUGGUUUAAGUUUUGGACUACGACUCUGGAGACCAGGGUUCAAUUCCCAGCUCAGCCC